rnacentral:rRNA from 1 species
GACGUAGGGUGCGAGCGUUGUCCGGAAUUAUUGGGCGUAAAGAGCUCGUAGGCGGCCUGUCACGUCGGUUGUGAAAGCCCGGGGCUUAACCCCGGGUCUGCAGUCGAUACGGGCAGGCUAGAGUUCGGUAGGGGAGAUCGGAAUUCCUGGUGUAGCGGUGAAAUGCGCAGAUAUCAGGAGGAACACCGGUGGCGAAGGCGGAUCUCUGGGCCGAUACUGACGCUGAGGAGCGAAAGCGUGGGGAGCGAACAGG